CUGUCUUUUAAGUUUCUACAAGUUGCACCUACAUAGAUUUCGUGCUCCCCUGUAUCUAAAUUGAUUACUGGGAUCUGGUAAAUGCAGCUUCUAUUUUUUUUAUUUCAACGGUCUUUAUGGUUUCUCAGUACUUUGAAAAUCGUGGCGGCCUCUUGUAUGCUGGUUUCUUGUUUUGUUUGUUUAGGACUGUUUUUAUCGCUUUUGAUCUUCCUAAUGCCUCUAGAACUGGUUCAUACGUCUUCACUUGUUGCAUGUUGUUAUCUGCUGUUACCUGUUGCACUGUUGUUUGGGUUUCUUCUUGUGUUGGGAUGGUUUUUUAG
rnacentral:lncRNA from 1 species